AGGAGGAGGAGUCUGAUGGAGGAGGAGGAGGUGCUUGGAGGUGGGCGUCUCCUGGGAAGACGGGAGUCUCUGCAUUGAGGUCAGAGCCACAGACCUGGAGGCACUCCUGCAGGAGAAAAGGAGGAGAUGGACUGAAGCUUCUUCUCUAAAGUUUAUGCUUUUAAUGGAUCGACUGAGGCAGUUUGUAUUUUCAGUGUUCAUGUCGGGUUCCAGCUGUAGUUCCAGGCUGUGACCACUGGAGGGCAGUAGACGUCUUUAUUAAAGCGACCUCAUGUAGUUCAUCGUUCCACCGCCAGAUGGAGACUCAGCUCUACCACAGGUCAAUUUAAUGUCGAAGAAGAAUAAACCGGAAGUAGUGAACAGGUGUGAUCAAUUAACCGGAUUAAUGUUAAAUUAGCAACGUAGCGUAGUUUGUCCCAACGCGACUUUACGAAGAGGAAACUAAUAAAUGACACUGAGCGUUACGUUCAGGGACGUCAGAGACCUGGAGGUAAAUCCUGCAGAUUCACACUGAAGGAAGGAAGGAAAGAAGGAAGGAAGGAAGGAAGGAGGGAAGGAAAACAUGUUGGUUCCUUUCUUUUCUAUGAAGACACUGAGAAAACAUGAGCAGCUCUGAGGACGACGCCACCGACAAGAACCUGGACGGGAAAGACUCAAACUGUUCAGUGAAGAUUCGGAGCUGCGCCUCCUUUAUCUUUAAUAAAUAAUGUAUUUAUUCAUUCAUCUUUUGGAAGGUUGUCGCCACAGUUCCAUCCGGUACCUUUCAUUUCCUCGUCGUAUAUAUUUUAAAGAAAUGUGCUGCAGGACGUAAAUCAGAUCAGAUGUUGAACAUAAUAAACACUUGUUCCUGCAGAGAAUGAAGCUUCACUGGGAGCUGAGUUUGUCUUGGAUGUUUCUGUGCAGAUAAACUGUCAUUUGUUUAUUCCCAUAUUUAAUAAAAGUCAUAGAGAACA